AUUGAACGCUGGCGGCAGGCCCAACACAUGCAAGUCGAGCGAGCGGCGGACGGGUGAGUAAUGUCUGGGAAACUGCCAGAUGGAGGGGGAUAACUUCUGGAAACGGUAGCUAAUACUGCAUACCAUCAGACGUGCCCAGAUGGGAUUAGCUGGUGGGUGGGGUAACGGCCAACCUAGGCGACGGUCCCCAGCUGGUCUGAGAGGAUGCACAGCCACACUGAAACUAAGACACGGCCCAGACUCCUGCGGGAGGCAGCAGUGGGGAAUGUUGCGAAAUGGGCGCAAGCCUGAUACAGCCAUGCAGCUUAUGUGAAGAAGGCCUUCGAGUUGUAAAGCACUUUAAGCGGGGAGGCGUUACCCGCAGAAGAAGCACCGGCUAACUCCGUGCCAGCCGCCGCGGUAAUAC
rnacentral:rRNA from 1 species